rnacentral:rRNA from 1 species
CACGUGGGUAACCUACCCAUCAGAGGGGGAUAACACUUGGAAACAGGUGCUAAUACCGCAUAACAGUUUAUGCCGCAUGGCAUAAGAGUGAAAGGCGCUUUCGGGUGUCGCUGAUGGAUGGACCCGCGGUGGGGGACUAGUUGGUGAGGUAACGGUCACCAAGGCCACGAUGCAUAGCCGACCUGAGAGGGUGAUCGGCCACACUGGGACUGAGACACGGCCCAGACUCCUACGGGAGGCAGCAGUAGGGAAUCUUCGGCAAUGGACCGAAAGUCUGACCGAGCAACGCCGGUGAGUGACGAAGGUUUUCGGAUCGUAAACUCCUGUUUGUUAGAGAAGACAAGGACGUUAGUAACUGGACGGUCCCCUGACGGGUAUCUAACCAGAAAGCCACGGCUAACUACGUGCCAGCACCCGGUAAUACGUAGGUGGCAAGCUUGUCCGGAUUUAUUGGGCGUAAAGCGAGCGCAGGCGGUUUCUUAAGUCUGAUGUGAAAGCCCCCGGCUCAACCGGGGAGGGUCAUUGGAAACUGGGAGACUUGAGUGCAGAAGAGGAGAGUGGAAUUCCAUGUGUACGGUGAAAUGCGUAGGUAUAUGGAGGAACACCAGUGGCGAAGGCGGCUCUCUGGUCUGUAACUGACGCUGAGGCUCGAAAGCGUGGGGAGCAAACAGGAUUAGAUACCCUGGUAGUCCACGCCGUAAACGAUGAGUGCUAAGUGUUGGAGGGUUUCCGCCCUUCAGUGCUGCAGCAAACGCAUUAAGCACUCCGCCUGGGGAGUACGACCGCAAGUUGA